rnacentral:rRNA from 1 species
GACGAACGCUGGCGGCGUGCUUAACACAUGCAAGUCGAACGGAAAGGCCCUGCUUUUGUGGGGUGCUCGAGUGGCGAACGGGUGAGUAACACGUGAGUAACCUGCCCUUGACUUUGGGAUAACUUCAGGAAACUUGGGCUAAUACCGGAUAGGAGCUCCUGCUGCAUGGUGGGGGUUGGAAAGUUUCGGCGGUUGGGGAUGGACUCGCGGCGUAUCAGCUUGUUGGUGGGGUAGUGGCUUACCAAGGCUUUGACGGGUAGCCGGCCUGAGAGGGUGACCGGCCACAUUGGGACUGAGAUAAGGCCCAGACUCCUACGGGAGGCAGCAGUGGGGAAUAGUGCACAAUGGGCGGAAGCCUGAUGCAGCAACGCCGCGUGCGGGAUGACGGCCUUCGGGUUGUAAACCGCUUUCGCCUGUGACGAAGCGUGAGUGACGGUAAUGGGUAAAGAAGCACCGGCUAACUACGUG